AUGUCAACUAUGGGUGUUGGCUCCAACAAUUCGCAUCGGUCUCAAACCAAUGACAUGCAUUUCGAUGACCAUGAGUUCGAGGUGGACGAGGAUGGUGAGGGCAUUGUCGAUGCACCUAAGGAAAGAGGAGGCAACUACACCAAUUAUGAAGACGUCUUGCUAUGCAAUACCUGGUUGCAAGUGUCGAGGGAUCCAUCCGUUGGAGGUGAUCAAAGUAGAGAUGCUUAUUGGAACCGGAUGAAGGAACACUUUGAUUUACACAAAAAGAGUGGAAUUGACUGCUCGGAAUGAUCUCUUCGCUCCCGGUGAUUGACAAUCAACCGAGAUUGUCAAAAGUGGGAGUCCGCACAAAAGGCGGUUGACAAGAACCUGAGUGGCACUAAUGAUGAAGAUAAGGUAAGUGCCAUUUCAUCCAGAAGUUCAUCAUGCUUGUUUUUGGUGUUUGUAGUGCUAACUUGUUUUGUUUUUAUGUAG
rnacentral:rRNA from 1 species